ACCAAGAAAUCAAAAAAGAAAGGAUUUAAAUUCUCUCAACGGAUUAAUUUAUCCGUUGAGAGAGUCGGUGUGUUCCGGCGCAUGAUAUCUCUCCGCCAGUCCGCCGAUCUCUCCUUUUCUUAUUCUCUAUAUAUAUAUAUAGGGCCUGCCGUCUCUCUAAAACCCUCUUCUCAUAUUAUAUCACCGCCUCUCUCUCCCCCCCAAAACCCCUCGCUAAAUUGUACAUCAGAUCGUCUUCAAUUCCACAGCUUUAAAGGGGGCGCCAUCUCAACUAUUCUAAUCGGGUUUGUUCCGAGAAAGAUCUCAGAGAGAGGAAGAGGAGGAGGAAGGACUGCGAGAUACCCAGAAAGAAGAGAAUUUCAUUUUUCCGAGGCAUAUUUGAAAGAAUGGCUUCAAGACCCGUGGUUCAACAUCAAAAUAGAGGAGGUAUUACUUACACUCCUUAAAGAGGGUAAUUCUUGAUGAGGUAAAUGAUAAAACCCUUUCAGGGUUUAUAGUUGAUGAUCUAGGUGAUGAAACAUUUAAAGAUGGCUCUAAUGACGAUGAAGAUGAACAGUUUGAAUCUGAGUGCAAUCUGUGAUAAUGGUGGUGAGAUGAUUUGGUGCCUAGAAAGUCUUCUUCGCAGAAGAGAGCUACUGUGAAGCCAAUCAAGCCUGAACCUAAAGAAAAGGUGAAGGAAAAGAACAACCUCCGCAGAAGGGCAGCAGCUGAAGGUUCAUCUAGAAAGACUUAUACUGCAACUCUCACUGCUCGAAGAAGGGCUGCUUGUGGACUGAACAUUAAAUUACCAAAGGAGAAGAUUGAAGAUAUUGAUGCUGGAGAUGUGUACAAUGAGUUGGCAGUUGUGGAGUAUGCAGAAGACAUUUACAAGGAAGCUAAGUGCAAUAGAGUACAAGGUGCAUUCAUAUAACCGUAAUGGCUUAUGUGCAUUGGGUUUUAUGGAUGAUCCCUACCUGGUUCGAAGUGCAUUUUCACUGCUAAAUCAGGUCGUGGAUGAGUACCAAAUUUUUUUUUGUGACACAUGGAGAUCUGCUCAAUCUGAUAGUACUCAACAAUGGCCUUAUUUAUUUGAAGCUCUAAAUAAAUUUCAGGAUCCUGAGGAAGCUGACAAGCUGUUGAAAAUUCAGCGGGAGUUGGAUGAAACAAAAAUUUUUCUUGUAAGUAAUGUGCUGUAAUUUUAUUUUCUUUCUCAUUUACAAUCUAUGCCUAGUUGAUCUGUAAUGCUUUCUGUUGGUUUCUUACAAGCUAACUGUUAACCUAUCCGUUCUCUGUGUUGCAAGGAAGGGCUGACAUUAGUUACAUUGUGUUAUUUUCUGAUUGCCACAGUUAUUGUUAUUAGAGGAAAUUCAUGUUACAGAACAACUAGAAAUGCUUUUGGUAUUUGAGUUUUA